rnacentral:rRNA from 1 species
GACAGAGGGUGCAAACGUUGCUCGGAUUUACUGGGCGUAAAGCGCGUGUAGGCGGGCGACUAAGUCGGAUGUGAAAUCCCUGGGCUCAACCUAGGAACUGCAUUCGAAACUGGUCACCUAGAGUGAUGGAGAGGAAAAGCGGAAUUCCCGGUGUAGAGGUGAAAUUCGUAGAUAUCGGGAGGAACACCAGUGGCGAAGGCG